rnacentral:rRNA from 1 species
AGUGAACGCUGGCGGUAGGCCUAACACAUGCAAGUCGAACGGCAGCACAGUAAGAUCUUGCCCUUACGGGUGGCGAGUGGCGGACGGGUGAGGAAUACAUCGGAAUCUACUUUUUCGUGGGGGACAACGUAGGGAAACUUACGCUAAUACCGCAUACGACCUACGGGUGAAAGCAGGGGAUCUUCGGACCUUGCGCGAUUCAAUGAGCCGAUGUCGGAUUAGCUAGUUGGCGAGGUAAAGGCCCACCAAGGCGACGAUCCGUAGCUGGUCUGAGAGGAUGAUCAGCCACACUGGAACUGAGACACGGUCCAGACUCCUACGGGAGGCAGCAGUGGGGAAUAUUGGACAAUGGGCGAAAGCCUGAUCCAGCCAUACCGCGUGAGUGAAGAAGGCCUUCGGGUUGUAAAGCCCUUUUGUUGGGAAAGAAAAGCAGCAGGUUAAUACCCCGCUGUUCUGACGGUACCCAAAGAAUAAGCACCGGCUAACUUCGUG